AGCAGCCGCCGCGGUAAUACAGAGGGUGCGAGCGUUAAUCGGAUUUACUGGGCGUAAAGCGUGCGUAGGCGGCUUCUUAAGUCGGAUGUGAAAUCCCUGAGCUUAACUUAGGAAUUGCAUUCGAUACUGGGAAGCUAGAGUAUGGGAGGGGAUGGUAGAAUUCCAGGUGUAGCGGUGAAAUGCGUAGAGAUCUGGAGGAAUACCGAUGGCGAAGGCAGCCAUCUGGCCUAAUACUGACGCUGAGGUACGAAAGCAUGGGGAGCAAACAGGAUUAGAUACCCCUGUAGUCCCUGUCUCUUAUAC
rnacentral:rRNA from 1 species